AAAUAUUGCUGGGUGUGACACAUUUGUAGAUCCCAGACAUCUGGGGUAUCACAAUUAGAAACCCUUUGUGGACAUAUUUCAUUAGUCAUAAAAAAGACAAGUCAUUUUUUCCUGUUUUCUCAAGAUUUCAAAGCUCUGCACUGUAUCCCUAAACCUCAUCAAAGGACACCCUUAUGAAAAGAUGAGGAAAUGAGGCAAUGGAGCAUUUGUCUGCAUCAGCACUAGGGACCAAACCUACAGCCUGUGAUUUCACUAAAUCUCCAUCUGGCAGGCUUUGUGUUCUUUGUAACAUAGAUGGCUGAGGAGAAGUUGUGGACAAGUUAACUGCAUGCAAAUCUGGAUCUUCACACAAGAUGGAAGGAGUCUGUCAUAACUGAAACAUAUUCAGUUAUUUUCUUCACAAAUGGCUGCUCUUGUCCUUUCUGAAGCAACUUAGGCUGUCUGCACAACUCAUAUGUGGAAGAAAAUCUCUGCUUUCAGUAUACAGCAUAAAGGCACCUUGAAGCCACAUGUAGAAGCUGCAGUGACACUUGCUGGAGAAGGCUGAGCUGAUUACUUUCUGCUUCAUGGGCUGCUGAGAUUCCAGGCACCAGGUUCUUUGCUGUACUGAUUACCCUUGCAUUUUAGCCCAUUAAGCAUUGCAAAUCUGCUGAGCUAUCCAACUUUUAUUCAGAAACCUAAAAAUUGUGCCAUCAUCAAGCACUCCACAGAUUGCCCCAGAUAUUACAGCAGCACAAUCACUCUACUGUUUAGAGUACUUUGUUCCUGUCUCUGUGAAUUAUGGGGUGUAACAUCAUGACGUGUUGUUAAAAGGGGAGGUAACCCAACAUGACAUGGCAUAAUGGGAUACAGCCUGUGGGUAUAGGGAGAAGGGUGGGAAGGGUAAUACAACUAGACCUAUAUCUGAUGAAAAAUCAGUGACCAAAAUUUAGCCAAGUAGUCACUUGUAUCUUACCAGAUUAUUCAAAAAUGAGUCAAAUUUUUGUUGUACUGUGACUUGAAAACAAAGUAAACUGAUCCAUAGCUAUAAUAAUUAAACUCAAUAUCUUUAUUUGUAUUUCAAAUAAAUCUGCAGCUGAUCCAAAAGAUGUCCCAAUUUGUCAACAUUAGCAGCUUUUGUUAAACUGAAACGUUCUGUAGAGUACGUGCAGUUUCACCAAAGUUUGGAAUAGAACAGGGAUGGAUUUCAAAACACAUAGGUUUCCAUCAAGAAUGUGUAUGGCUUCCCACUCCUUCCAGUCUUACAGCUCCUUGGCAGCAAAAGGCUCCCAAGAUCCAUCAGUCUGUCAUGGGACCGGAACUCCUCUUGCCAUCAGAGAUGAUUUUGGCACUUGUAGUCCCCAUUCCAUAACAGAUAAGAACCAAGAGUCAAAGUGCUGAAAUUGUUUGUGGAAUGACUUUACCUUUUUCCACACAGCUCUAGUCAAAUACUAUUGGGUAAUAUUAAAUGCAGAAGUGCUGUUCCAGUGGCCCAUAAAAUCAAUUCCAUGCAACAUAUUCAGGUUUUAGCCACAUACCAGACUCCUUUCUCUUUUUUCUCUCUUCACCUAUACCUAAGUACUCUCAGCAGCAGGCGGCAAGGAGUCUCUCAAGAGAGGCAUACAUUAGCCUGCAGCCUGACUGUCCCCAAGGGAGAAGUACUUUCCCCAUCCUAGAGUAAUUGUUUUUAAUUGCAAAACAUCCUCUGCCUAAAUAAAAAUAAGAUUCCCCUUAGCAGACUCAGACAGGCCAAAGAUAUAUUAUUAUUUGCAAUACCUUUACCAUAGGACUCAGUCAUGAAUCAGAAUCCCAAGGGCCAUCUUGCUACUUAUAAAUUAAUCUAAAUAUACUGUUUUGUAUACUUCCAUUUCUGCUUAAGUUUUUUAAUUAGUGGGUGACUGAAUUAGAGAAAUGGGUGCAGACAGCAAAGAGCACUGGAAACCCUUUUCUUGCAAAGUGCUUGUCUUCUAUUAAUGUGCCCCGUUGAGUGUUUUUGAGCAAUAUGCACAGCAUUAGUUUCUGAAAGCAGAAAAAAAAUGAAUAGAGAGAAACAUUUGAAAUGGCUGAGAAGCUUUCAGAGUGCAGAGGGGAAAAAAAUAAAUAAAAAACAAGAAUCUGUCACCUGGUAAUUACAAAAUGUUUUAUACCAUGUAACCUUUGAACGCAAAAGUUUAUGUUCUUGCCAGGCCCAAUGCUUAUUUCAGCUUUGCUUCCAGUAUCUCUGAUAAACUUUCAGAAUAAAUGUUGAGAUUAUAUUUUGUGAUUUAUCAGAUCACAGUGACCCAACCUUUCUUGCAUCUCUUCACAUAUUUCUGAAAGGUAACUCAGAACAAAAGAGCAACAAGGUAAUGUGUCCCUGCAAAUAUAAUGAAGACCUCUCUCCUCAGUUCCAAAUCUACCAUCUCUGUCAGGUGUACACCAGAAGGUUUCUUCCUCAUUCUAUUUAAUGGUAUCCCUACCUCAACAGAAAAAUCUCUUUCCAAACAGUCAUUACCUCCAGAAAAAGACUUUGGUCACUAUACAUUUUCCCUGCAAUUUAAAUGCUUAUAAAAUCAGUCCAGUAGGCCUCCAAAGUCUGUCUGUAAGGGCACCAUCUGAUGACUCACACUCAUGUUACAGAUGAGAACUAAGAUGGAACAGAAUCAGCAACUCACUGCAUCUUUGCUGAGUUGGCAGAAAUCUCAGAAACCAUAGCUCUGGAUGUGAGAACAGAACAGGAAAGAAAGGAAAGGAAAGGAAAAGGAAAGGAAAGGAAAGGAAAGGAAAAAAGGAAAGGAAAGGUGUGGAAAGGAAAGGUGUAGAAAGGAAAAAAAAGGAAAGGAAAGGAAAGGAAAGGAAAGGAAAGGAAAGGAAAGGAAAGGAAAGGAAGGAAAAAGGAAAGGAAAGG